GUGGGGAAUAUUGGACAAUGGGCGAAAGCCUGAUCCAGCCAUGCCGCGUGUGUGAAGAAGGUCUUCGGAUUGUAAAGCACUUUAAGUUGGGAGGAAGGGCAGUAAGUUAAUACCUUGCUGUUUUGACGUUACCGACAGAAUAAGCACCGGCUAACUCCGUGCCAGCAGCCGCGGUAAUACGAAGGGUGCAAGCGUUAAUCGGAAUUACUGGGCGUAAAGCGCGCGUAGGUGGUUUUGUAAGUUGGAGGUGAAAUCCCCGGGCUCAACCUGGGAACUGCCUCCAAAACUGCAUGACUAGAGUACGGUAGAGGGUAGUGGAAUUUCCUGUGUAGCGGUGAAAUGCGUAGAUAUAGGAAGGAACACCAGUGGCGAAGGCGACUACCUGGACUGAUACUGACACUGAGGUGCGAAAGCGUGGGGAGCAAACAGGAUUAGAUACCCGGGUAGUCC
rnacentral:rRNA from 1 species